rnacentral:rRNA from 1 species
GGGUUGUGAGGUUAAGCGACUAAGCGUACACGGUGGAUGCCCUGGCAGUCAGAGGCGAUGAAGGACGUGCUAAUCUGCGAUAAGCGUCGGUAAGGUGAUAUGAACCGUUAUAACCGGCGAUUUCCGAAUGGGGAAACCCAGUGUGUUUCGGCACACUAUCAUUAACUGAAUCCAUAGGUUAAUGAGGCGAACCGGGGGAACUGAAACAUCUAAGUACCCCGAGGAAAAGAAAUCAACCGAGAUUCCCCCAGUAGCGGCGAGCGAACGGGGAGGAGCCCAGAGCCUGAAUCAGUGUGUGUGUUAGUGGAAGCGUCUGGAAAGGCGUGCGAUACAGGGUGACAGCCCCGUACACAAAAAUGCACAUAUUGUGAGCUCGAUGAGUAGGGCGGGACACGUGGUAUCCUGUCUGAAUAUGGGGGGACCAUCC